AUUAUCCUUGUUGAUUAAGUUACAUAUAUUUAUAUGUUCUUUGUAGAAACGAUGCGACAUAAACAGGGCCAAUCGAAGUAAGCUUAAAAUUAAUCAUUUCAUGGGGUCAAAAGCGUUUGUACCGGCUCGUGCUGAACUUGCUGAAAAUGGAGUAGAGCCGAUAGAAUUGAGUUCUACAAGAGUACUCAUUACUCGACCGAAAAAGGAUGGUCAUCUCUAGAGGCCGAGACAAACUAUAACACCAUGAAAGAUUUGAAAGAUAUAUAUACUUCGGGAGAGCGGGGAGAGCCUUGCAUGACUAUUGAUCAAAUUAUGGAUACUGUACUUGGUACAAAAUCGGGGUACAUAAAAGGUCUCGGUUAUGGUCCGAAACCCGAUACUACCGAGCCACACAAAGAAGAACAUCGAGUUAGAAGACUCCCUUAGAAAGACGAAAGAGGAAGCUGCUAGUGUCCAACAUGAUUUAC